rfam:Rattus norvegicus chromosome 10, whole genome shotgun sequence.
CUGGAGAUGGCUCAGUGGUUAAGAGCACUGACUGCUCUUCCAGAGGUCCUGAGUUCAAAUCCCAGCUACCACA